rnacentral:lncRNA from 1 species
CUUGAGGUUUACAAAUGAGUAGGCAGGUACUGCAUAAAGAUUCUUGAUCACACACAGCUGUAAUUCAACACACCCUAAUUUUUGCACAAUUAGUGUAUUUUUAUUUUAGACAACAGAACAAAGUGAAUUAGUCAUACUGCAACUUGAAUAGGUGAAUAUGACUUUCUCUCACCUUAAUGGAAUUUCACCCCACAACUUUGAAUUAAUGUGCUAGGUAAUAAGAAAUCAUGCUCUUGGCUAUUUAAAUUAUAGAGCAUUAUCUCAUAACUAAAAAUAAUCAGUUGUGGCAUUUAAAAAAUUAUUUUAUUCCAGUUACACUUCUGUACAGAAAAUAAUAUUCAUAAAAGCAUCUGCUACAUUUAAUAUAUAUUGCUUUGAAAUGUAUGUACAAAUAGAUGGUGAGUAAAACCAAUUCUGGUCUAAUAUCUAUGAUUUAUCAUUCCUUUUAUCAGCAAUUACUACAUUUCUCUAUACUAAGUUUUAAUGUGUUAAUAUCUUACUUUCAUUUUAAAAUUGUUUCCUAUAUUAUACAGCAACUUCAGUAGUUACACGUAUGCAAAAUUGUUUAAAAUACAAGGUUUCCUUAGCUUCUCUCCUAACAAGGGACUUUUAAUAUCCAUUGGAAUAUACUUUCUGCAGAUGUGUUUUUUGAAAAUUAUACAAAUAGAAAUAAUUUGGUUACUUUAUCAACCAAAAAUCUUAGGUCUAGGGUGUCUUUUGAAAGCACUGUGUUAAAACUGCAAAUCCUGAGAAUAUAUUCACUAGAUUUUCAAUAAUACUCUGGCAAUAAAAUUUUAUAAUGCUGUUUACCAUUCGAUUAUUCUUAGUGUCGGAUGGGAGAGGAA